GAUGAACGCUGGCGGCGUGCCUAACACAUGCAAGUCGAACGAACCUGAUCUUCGGAAAAGGUUAGUGGCGCACGGGUGAGUAACACGUAGGUGACCUGCCCUGGAGUGGGGGAUAACUUCUCGAAAGAGAGGCUAAUACCGCAUACGCUCGGCCAUUCAGUUGGUCGAGUAAAGCUCCGGCGCUCCAGGAGGGGCCUGCGUCCGAUUAGCUAGUUGGUGAGGGAAUGGCUCACCAAGGCGAUGAUCGGUAGCUGGUCUGAGAGGACGAUCAGCCACACUGGCACUGACACACGGGCCAGACUCCUACGGGAGGCAGCAGUGAGGAAUAUUGGUCAAUGGGCGAAAGCCUGAACCAGCAACGCCGCGUGAGGGAUGAAGGCCUUCGGGUCGUAAACCUCUUUUCUGGGAGAAGAGACAAGGACGGUAUCCCAGGAAUAAGUCUCGGCUAACUACGUGCCAGCAGCCGCCGUAACAC
rnacentral:rRNA from 1 species